AUUGAACGCUGGCGGCAGGCCUAACACAUGCAAGUCGAACGAGUGGCGGACGGGUGAGUAAUGUCUGGGAAACUGCCCGAUGGAGGGGGAUAACUACUGGAAACGGUAGCUAAUACCGCAUACCAUCGGAUGUGCCCAGAUGGGAUUAGAUAGGAGGUGGGGUAACGGCUCACCGAGGCGACGAGCCCUAGCUGGUCUGAGAGGAUGACCAGCAACCCUGGAACUGAGCCACGGUCCAGACUCCUACGGGAGGCAGCGGUGGGGAAUAUUGCACAAUGGGCGAAAGCCUGAUGCCGCCAGGCCGCGUGUAUGAAGAAGGCCUUCGGGUUGUAGAGUACGUUCAGCGAGGAGGCGUUACUCGCAGAAGAAGCACCGGCUAACUCCGUGCCAGCAGCCGCGGUAAUUC
rnacentral:rRNA from 1 species